rnacentral:tRNA from 1 species
GACUGGAUAGCCUAGUGGUAAAGGCAUCACAUUGACAAUGCUGAGGUACCAGGUUCAAAUCCUGGUCUAGUCA